UGACACCGUGGUCUUAG
rnacentral:sRNA from 1 species